GACGAACGCUGGCGGCGUGCUUAACACAUGCAAGUCGAGCGGUAAGGCCCUUUCGGGGGUACACGAGCGGCGAACGGGUGAGUAACACGUGGGUGACCUGCCCUCAGCUCUGGGAUAAGCCUGGGAAACCGGGUCUAAUACCGGAUAUGACUCCAUGACGCAUGUUGUGGGGUGGAAAGCCUUGUGCGGCUGAGGAUGGGCCCGCGGCCUAUCAGCUUGUUGGUGGGGUGAUGGCCUACCAAGGCGACGACGGGUAGCCGGCCUGAGAGGGCGACCGGCCACACUGGGACUGAGACACGGCCCAGGCUCCUACGGGAGGCAGCAGUGGGGAAUCUUGCGCAAUGGGCGAAAGCCUGACGCAGCGACGCCGCGUGAGGGAUGACGGCCUGGUGU
rnacentral:rRNA from 1 species